rnacentral:rRNA from 1 species
UACGAAGGGGGCUAGCGUUGCUCGGAAUCACUGGGCGUAAAGGGUGCGUCGGCGGGUCUUUAAGUCAGGGGUGAAAUCCUGGAGCUCAACUCCAGAACUGCCUUUGAUACUGAAGAUCUUGAGUUCGGGAGAGGUGAGUGGAACUGCGAGUGUAGAGGUGAAAUUCGUAGAUAUUCGCAAGAACACCAGUGGCGAAGGCGGCUCACUGGCCCGAUACUGACGCUGAGGCACGAAAGCGUGGGGAGCAAACAGG